rnacentral:rRNA from 1 species
UACGUAGGGGGCAAGCGUUAUCCGGAUUUACUGGGUGUAAAGGGAGCGUAGACGGCUGUGCAAGUCUGGAGUGAAAGGCAUGGGCUCAACCUGUGGACUGCUUUGGAAACUGUGCAGCUAGAGUGCCGGAGAGGUAAGUGGAAUUCCUAGUGUAGCGGUGAAAUGCGUAGAUAUUAGGAGGAACACCAGUGGCGAAGGCGGCUUACUGGACGAUGACUGACGUUGAGGCUCGAAAGCGUGGGGAGCAAACAGG